CAUUUUCAUAAUGUCAUCCUUAGGGUGACGAAUAUGAUGAUUCCUGCACAGAUUUGAAUGUUAGCAUUCGUGAAGUUCAUCGGCCGUGGCUUGGCGGGCCGACGGUGGUGCCGCGGCCCAGACCGAGCCCGGGCCCAGCCAGGUGUUCAGUUGUUGUUUGGUUCCUCAGGAAAGACGCCGAGCCUCCGACGCCUCCACCACCUCCACCACCAGCACCAGCUGUCUGCGCCGCUACAGCCGCUACCUGCCGGUGCUGCUGCUGACGCCCGGGCUGCGGAGUAAGGCCUGCGUGGUGUUCUACCUGUGGGCCGUGGGGGGGGGGGGGCGUCCUACAACGGCCUCAGCCACUACGCCAGGAUUCUCAGCACGGACGUGUACCUCCACACGUUCCUGGUGGGGCUGGUGGAGGUGCCGGCGCUGCUCUGCCUGUGGCCGGCCAUCACGUGCCUGGGCCGCCGGAGGACCCUCUCCUUCCUGCUGGCGGUGUGCGCCACGUCCAUGGCAGCCGUGACGCUGCUCAUCGCCACGCGCAAGGGCGGGACAAGCGAGGGGGAAAAGCUGCCCUGGGCACCCGGCGCCCUGUGUAGCCUGGCAGCCCUGGUCGGGGCGGCCCUGGUGUUCCUGCUCCCGGAGACCACCGACAGGAAGAUUACGCAGCGAGACGACUGCCGCGACGACUCCCCCGACCACGACACCCCCCUGGAGGCCCUCAGGGGCAAGGCGCUGGCUUAGGGCAGCGCGGCGCUGGCAGGGGCCGUGGAACAGUACUCGAGAGACCCUGGGGCGGAGAGGAAAACUCACCAUGUACUCAGGAAGACCUCGCCGAGACGACCACACGGUCCCGGGGCGGCGGUUAGCGGCGAGGCGGUGACUCAGGGUUCCGGGCUCAGGUCAAGGGUCUUCAAAGCAAGGGUCGCGCCCGUAUCAGGAAACGGCAGGCACGCCGCUCUCUGUAUCAGGCUUGCGAAUGUGCCGUGGGGAUAAUGCUUCAAGUAUAAGUGUCCUCUUUGUCCUCUUGUGACGCUGGCGUCCUGUGUCGUGUGUCCUGGGCGACUUCGCCUCCGCUGUUCCCUGAUCUGAGUAGGCUGUCAGGCCGCGGCUCACACCGCUGUGGUGGCCCCGAGGCUGACUAACGAACACUGCUUGUACUGGAAAUGGACUUUAUUGCUUCUCAAUUAAAUUGCCUGAGUAUACAGACA